UAUCACUCUUUGUUACUGGCAGUAAGAAGGGCAAGUGUGCUAAAGGAGCUACCAGAGCAAACGCUAAAAGAAGAACCACUGGCCAUCAGUUGGUUGAAUCCUAGGAUGCAGAACAUAUGGACGCGGAGGACAGACUGUAAUUACCAUCAGGGAAUCAAACUCAUCAUCAGUUGGAAUCACAAAGUAUGCAUAUUCUCAGACCCCAUCUUCAGUUUAAUAAUGGUCUCCAGCACGAGGGGCACAUGAGACUGUGAGGAGACAGGGAUGACCCUAAAAGGCCAACUCUGUGGAGACUGCCCUGGACUGGUUAAAAGUGCUCUGCCCAAGCACACAGGCCUCCGUUCCAGAUGCUCUUACUGGAUGUGGGGCUGAAU